GCCGUUCUGCCUCUGUACCCCCUUUGCAACUCCUUGAAAACCUCCCUCCCUGAGCCUUUGAGGCUGACCCUUUUGGGGUCAGUGCCCGUCGAUGAAAUCCUGGGUGACGUUUCGGUGCUUCGGUUUCCCGCUCAGAUCCACAGAGGCGCUGUUUAGAAAUGUCCAGUAACUUAGGAGUGCACUGCAAGGGCUUGCGACACAGCCAACGUAUGUUUUUGAAAUACUAACCACAGCCAAUUUGUGGAGACCAGAAAGAACGGAACCAAAUUAAAACCAGUGUUGCAAAGUUGAAAGGCAAAAUGUGUGUGAAGCGGUUGGUGAACCUGAGCAUCAGUGUGAACCGUUAUUAGUGAUACCCUCUGGUGUCUGCUGUUCUGGGGCAGCAUUUACCCCUGCUGGAGAGGAAGAAGGAAAGAUGACUAAAGCUGAAGACCUCUGCCUUUUUUUGAUGCUCCUCAGCAGCAGCUUUCACCAUGUUUUGUAGUUACACCUUGUAAACAGACAAGACUCCUUGUGCCCCAGAAAACUUUCUUGAGCCUUGAAGGACCAGCUUGCCAUGAAUCCUAAGCUUCUAUUUUCUCUUGCUGCCCAUCCAUAUGUAGUAAAGUCAUU